AUGAGGCUUUGGGAAAGGCAGCAAGGCUGUGCUGCAACUGUGGGGCAGUUCUGUGGGGCUGCCUGCACAGCCCCCCCACAUGCAAACCCAUUUUGCACCCUAUGUUGGGAGAGGAGCAGAUCCUCGGGGCAUCCUCCUGCUGCAGGGCAAUAAAGCAUUGCUUUAUUGCAGAGAGCAACAGAUGUGCAUGGAUUGCAGCACUCCUGGUGCCCCUUGCAAGUGUGCAAGGCUCUGCUGUCCCACACUGCUGCUCUGCACUGAGCUCUGAGCAUGGCUGGGUGUCCCAGGGGAUGGGCGAGUGGUUAUCCUGACAGCUUUGCAAACGACAGACAUGCUGGGUAAUUAAAUGCUGCUUCAUUUCACGUGCUGCUCCAGGGAGCAAAGCCUGGGGCAGUGCAUCAAUUCCCUGCUCCUGCUGGAGAGUUCUGGCUGGGAUUGCAGGAGAUGGGCAAAGCCCACUAGAAAACGUUGUAUUCUGUGCUUGGCAUCACCCUUCCUCGGGGUGCAGGGCAGUGGGGAAGCAGUGCAGCUGCAGUGUGGUUGCAGUGGGGUUGCAGUGGGUGCAGUGAGGAUGCAGCGGGUGCACGGUAGAAAUGCAACAGGGUUGCAGAGGGAUGCAGUGGAAUGACAAGGUUGCUGUGGAUUGUGGUGGGAUGCAGUGGGGUGCAGCAGGGUUGCAGUGGGAUGCAACAGGGUUGCAGUGGAUUGCAGUGGGAUGCAGCAGGGUUGUAAUGGGAUGCAACAGAAUUGCAGUGGGGUGCAACAGGGUUGCAGUUGAUUGCAGUGGGGUGCAGCAGGGUUGCAGUGGGAUGCAACAGGAUUGCAGUGGGAUGCAACAGGGUUGCAGUGGAUUGCAGUGGGGUGCAGCAGGGUUGCAGUGGGGUGCAGUGGGAUGCAGCAGGGUUGUAAUGGGAUGCAACAGGAUUGCAGUGGGGGGUGCAGCAGGAAUGCAGUGGAGGGUGCAGCAGGGUUGCAGUGGGAUGUAACAGGAUUGCAGUGGGGUGCAGCAGGGUUGCAGUGGGAUGCAGUAGGGUUGCACUGGGAUGCAACAGGAUUGCAGUGGGAUGCAGCAGGGUUGCAGUGGGGUACAACAAGAAUGCAGUGGGAUGCAGCAGGGGUGCAGUGGGGUGCAGCAGGG
rnacentral:lncRNA from 1 species